CUCUGCUUUCUUCGCCUUCCAGGUGUUAGUGAGAAGCAGGCAGAUAAAAGCAGAUGGAAAGCUGGCUGACAUGUACAGUAGGUACUUGUGGCUUGAAAAGAAAUGCCUUAAAAUGUGCCCAAUGAAUAAAUUGGCUUUUACUAUAUAGAAAGGAGGCAAGUCUCUAACAUGGUAAUUUAAAUCUUUAACAAAAUACCAGUUAAAAAUCUUUGAAUGAUGGCUCAUGGGAGGAAAAUAAGGAAGGCUUUAAGAUAACUGCUUUUGAAAUGUAGGAAAACAUAUGGCUAAGUUCCUGAUGUAUUAAACUGCAGGAGGCUGCAGGAAUGAUGCAUUCUGGAAAGUGAGGUCAGCUGGAACACUUGUGGUGUUCAUCCGUCUGCAACCCUUGAUCUUGCAAUGUAGCCGUCACUAAAAAUAGGAGCCAUUACUCAACUGUAAAAAUGAAAUGGUUGGCAAUAUUAGUGGAUGGCACUCUAUGAAUAUUCACAAGUGUGGGAUGCAGAAGUGAUGCUCAUUUCAAAACAAUGGAAAUAGUGCUUCUCAGCUGAACUUCCAGUUGUUGCAAGAAGAGCAAGGGUGUGCUUAAUCUACUUGGUAAGAGAUUCAAUGGCAGUGCCGCUGGAGAGUAAUUCUCAGGAGAAUUUAACUGGAUGUGUGGAGAGGAGGUCAAGAAAAUAGUAAGAGACCAGUUCUUGUCCUUUUAGCAGUGAUGCUUCAUUGUUACAUGCAAUUUCACCCCUAUGUUGUUAGUGAUUGAACGAUGGGCCUGAUGGAUGGAAUUACAACCCUAUGGCCCUGCCUUUCCAGUCCAUAUCUUUGUUUCUGCUUCUUUAGCCAGCUGUAGUAGCACAGCCUUGUUCAGAACUCUGUGCUCAAGCACAUUCAAGAAUUAAGAGGCUGGCUAGAUGUAAACAAUGUAUAAAGUGAUGUAAACAACUCACAUGGGCCAUACAAAAUAUUUUGAUGAUGUAGCUUAUAGCAGUUUGAGUAAAUUGUUCUAGCCAAAGCGUUUUCUGUCUCUGUCUACACUUGGGAUUUUUAUAACAAAAAUAGCACAAAGUGUCAUCGGUAGGUGUGCUGCCAAAUGGUUCUAGCCUGGGUUUGUCCUCAGAUCUUCUCUUUUUGUUGCAUACUAGUUUUACAUCUAUUAGAAAUGCCUUUUUCUACAAUUUCUGUUUCUUUUUUCCACUCUGAGCACUAGCAUCUAACUACUUAUCCUCGGCAACAUUAUAGAAACAGGGAAGAACAAAGAGCCCAUGGAGGUGUGUGUUUCAAUGCUGAACUUUAUAAAUGAAUCUAAAUGACACAGGCCUCCUUCCACUAAGUCACUCAAGUACAGUGAAACAAAACACUCCCCUUGGAGCCCUAUCAGUCGUCCAUGUUACUUACAGGUGUAACAGGAGUUUCUGCGUUAACCCCUCAGUUGCCUACUGGCACAAAA